CACGCACGACACUUUGUUACUUUCAGUUUAAAUCCAGCUACACACGGAUCAGCAGAUCAUUGCUCACUUCAAUAUCGUAGUUUGUUGUAGUUAAUCGAUUUAUGUGAGAUGGGAAAUAUUUUUAGAAGGAAGGUUAAGCUGUUUACAAAUGAAAAUUCCCCUUUAAUUGGCUUUAAGUCGAAAUCGAAAUGGUGUACAUUACGAAAUGUGGCGCUCUUUGUGUCCUUUAUGCUAUGCAUAUUAAUUGUCUUAUAUGCGUUGUUUUUGAUAUUCAAUAAACCAAUGACGAAAAUAUCUACUUUAAGAUUAAAUAGUGUGGCGACCAUCAAUAAUGAUUAUUUUGAGAAAUGUGCACCACAGAUAACGUGUGACCCUAACGCAAAAUACAGAACAGUAAAUGGAUCAUGCAAUAAUUUGCAAAAUCCUAGCUGGGGCGCAGCACUAACUCCUUUUUAUAGAUACAUGGAUCCGGUGUUUAGUGAUAGGAUCUCAGCUUUUCGGCUACAAUCGGAUGGAAGUCUAUUACCAAAUGCUCGAAAUCUUACUCUGACGAUAUUCAAAGACAUUAAAAGGAUUUGUGACCAUAAAAACAAUGAAAUCUUGGUACCAUGGGCCCAAUUUAUCACCCACGAUAUGGCUUAUUCUCCAGUUCGUAGUGUCAAUUCAUCUUUUCCUGCUGCCCUAGACCAUUGUCAGGAUGAGAAUCCACCAACAGAGUGCUCGGCGACCAUUCCAUUAUCUCCGGACGAUCCAGUGUACGGAAAAUUGAAUAUGACGAUUUUAAAAUUCAUGCGUUUAGUAACUUCAUCAGCCGAUAAUUGCUCCUUAGUUCCUGACACAGUUCUUAAUAAAAACACACAUUUUAUCGACUCAUCAAAUGUGUAUGGUUCCGAUAUUGAUUUGGCAAAUCAAUUGCGUCUGUUUAAAGGAGGACAAUUAUUAUACAAUAAAAUUGAAAAUCAAAAAUAUUGUCCUCAGGAUUCAAGCAAAGUUGUAAAAAAAGGAAAUGAGACUCAAGUAACAGUUGCAUUUGUUGCAGGAGACAUAAAUGUUAACCAAAAUUUAGGAAUAGCCUUAUUUCAAAAUUUAUUUCUAAGAUUCCAUAAUUAUAUCGCAAACAAGUUACAAGAAGAUCACCCUUUAUGGACUGAUGAGACUGUCUACCAAGAAACACGUAGAAUCGUUGCAGCUGUUACUCAAAUUAUUACAUACGAUCAUUUUUUGCCGAUAAUUUUGGGUGAAAAUUAUAUCAAUGAAUAUGGUUUAAAUAACGAAACUAAUUAUGAUCCAACGAUAAUACCUGCUGUGGCACAAGAGAUGACUAGCGGUGCUUUCCGAUUACUUCACAACAUAAUUCCUGCCAAAUUAAACUUUAUGAGUGAAAAUUACACUACAUAUGAAGUGGAAGAACCUUCCAAGUCAUUUCUAAAACCAGAUUCAUUGAUUGGUAACGUUGAUGGAUUAAUUAGAGGCUUAACUGAAACUACUGGACGCGAACCGCAGUCAUCGUACAAUAACCUUAUUACAAAUAUUGUUAUUGAAAGUCCAUCAAUCAAUACUACUGGAUUUGAUUUGCUUUCUUAUGAUAUACAACGUGGUCGUGACGUUGGUCUUCCUCCUUACACUAAAUUGAGAAGUUUGUGCGGACUGCCACAAGUGAAUACAUUUGAUGAUUUAUCGGAUUACAUACCAUCAGAAAAAAUUGACCAGUUAAAAGAUUUCUAUUCAUCGGUUGACGAUAUUGAUUAUUAUGUUGGAAUUUUAUUGGAAAAUAAAGCAAACGGAUCCAUGCUUGGCCCUACUGGAAGUUGUGUUAUUGCUGAUAGUUUUUAUCGAUUUAGAAACGGUGAUCGAUUUUUUUACGACGUCAAAGAUCAACCUGGAAGCUUCACUUCGGAUCAAUUACAGUCGUUGAAGAAUAUUACUCUUAGUCAUAUUAUCUGUGUAACGUCAGAUGUAGAACGUAUUCAAACGAAUACAUUCAAGUUAAUUGAUCACAUACGAAUGAUGAAACUUAAGCCCAACUGCGAAACAUACACAAUUGACUUAACUGCAUGGUGAAUGAUUCCAAAACAUACUAAAUAUAAGUUUUCCUCAUGAAUAUAUUUAGACAGUACUGUUUUUUUGAGAUCGGAACUUUGAGCUAACAAUGUGUAGAUGAAGAAGAACAACUAGGUUCAGAUUUAUUUAUCAAGUAUAAAGUUAAAUAGUAUCUGCCUUUAGCCUUUAUACUUUACACAAAUUGUUUUUGUGUAUAGGAACCCUGAACUGAAUUGGAAUAUGAUUUCGAUAAAAUUUAAUAUUUAGAUACAACAAAACAAUCAAGAUAUCAAGUAUAAAUUAUACUUUAGUAAUUUAUUUAUGCAAAAGUACCUAUAGGUAUUUACACUAAUAUCUAAAUAAAAAUACAAUAUACAGUAGUGUAUACUAUACACAAGAUACAAAUAAAUGGAAUUUUUCUCUUUUAUGCGUUAUUAUGAUGUGGUAUGAUGAAUGUAUGAUAUUUUGAAUAGCAAUAAAAAAUAAUAUCAACUAUA
rnacentral:misc_RNA from 1 species